rnacentral:rRNA from 1 species
GCGCUGGCCUUGCUCUCCCUCAAGGCCUCCCUCAGCUGCCGCCCCCACGUGCUGCGCUCGUGGCUGCCGGGCAAUGUCGCCUCCGUGUGCGAGUGGACCGGCGUCCGCUGCGCCGGCGGCAGGGUCGUCUCCGUCGACAUCGCCAACAUGAACGUGUCCACUGGCGCGCCCGUCACGGCCGAGGUGACUGGGCUCGCCGCGCUCGCGAGCCUCUCCCUCGCCGGGAACGGCAUCGUGGGCGCGGUGGCCGUGUCCGCGCUCCCGGAGCUCCGCUACGUCAAUGUUUCCGGAAACCAGCUCGGCGGCGGCCUCGACGGCUGGGACUUCCCGUCGCUCCCCAGCCUCGAGGUGUUCGACGCCUACGACAACAACUUCUCCUCCUCGCUCCCGGCCGGCGUGACGGCGCUGCCGCGGCUCCGAUACCUUGACCUCGGCGGCAAUUACUUCUCCGGGGUGAUACCCGCGUCGUACGGCGGGAUGCUGGCUCUGGAGUACCUGUCCCUCAACGGCAACAACCUGCAGGGCGCCAUCCCGCCGGAGCUCGGCAACCUGACGAGCCUCAGGGAGCUGUAUCUCGGGUACUACAACGCAUUCGACGGCGGCAUCCCGCCGGAGCUCGGCCGGCUGCGCAACCUCACCAUGCUGGACGUCUCCAACUGCGGCCUCACCGGGAGCAUCCCGUCGGAGCUGGGCGAGCUGGCCUCCCUCGACACGCUGUUCCUCCACACGAACCAGCUGACCGGCGAAAUCCCGCCGGAGCUCGGCAACCUCACGGCGCUCACCAGGCUGGACCUGUCCAACAACGCGCUCACCGGCGAGGUGCCGAGCACCCUGGCGUCCCUCACCUCGCUCCGGCUGCUCAACCUGUUCCUCAACCGGCUCCACGGCCCGGUCCCCGACUUCGUCGCUGCGAUGCCGCGGCUGGAGACGCUGCAGCUCUUCAUGAACAACUUGACCGGCCGCGUCCCGGCGGGCCUCGGCGCCAGCGCGGCGCUCCGGCUCGUCGACCUAUCGUCGAACCGGCUCACCGGCAUGAUCCCCGAGAUGCUGUGCUCCUCCGGCGAGCUGCACACCGCCAUCCUCAUGAACAACUUCCUCUUCGGCCCCAUCCCCGGGGCGCUCGGCUCGUGCGCGAGCCUCACCCGGGUCCGGUUCGGCCACAACUACCUCAACGGCAGCAUUCCCGCCGGCUUCCUCUACCUCCCGCGGCUCAACCUGCUGGAGCUGCAGAACAACCUGCUCUCCGGUCCGGUCCCGUCGAACCCGAGCCCGACCCUGACCGGUUCGGAGUCGCAGCUGGCCCAGCUCAACCUGUCCAACAACCUGCUGUCCGGGCCGCUGCCUGCCGCGCUGGCCAACCUCUCCGCUCUGCAGACGCUGCUGGUCAGCAACAACUGUCUCGCCGGCGCCGUGCCGCCGGAGGUAGGGGAGCUCCGGCUGCUCGUGAAGCUCGACCUCAGCGGCAAUGAGUUGUCCGGGCCGAUACCGGAGGCCAUCGGCCGGUGCGGGCAGCUCACGUACAUUGACCUCAGCACCAACAAGCUGUCUGGGCCAAUCCCGGAGGCCAUCGCCGGGAUACGGGUGCUGAAUUACCUCAACCUGUCGAGGAACCAGCUCGAGGAGUCGAUCCCCGCCGCGAUCGGGGCGAUGAGCAGCCUCACGGCGGCCGACUUCUCCUACAACGACCUGUCCGGCCAGCUGCCGGACACGGGCCAGCUGCGGUACCUGAACGAGACGACGUUCGCGGGCAACCCGAGGCUGUGCGGGCCGGUGCUGAACCGGCCCUGCAACAUCAGCAGCGACGCCGGCGGGUCGACGGCCGUGAGCCCGCGGCGGGCGACGGCGGGGGACUACAAGCUGGUGUUCGCGCUGGGUCUGCUGGCGUGCUCGGUGAUCUUCGCCGCGGCGGCCGUGCUGCGCGCUCGGUCGUACCCCGGCGGCGGGCCGGACGGCGCGUGGCGGUUCACGGCGUUCCACAAGGUGGACUUCGGCAUCGCGGAGGUGAUCGAGUGCAUGAAGGACGGCAACAUGGUGGGCCGUGGCGGCGCCGGCGUGGUGUACACGGGACGAGCCCGGUCGGGCGGCGCGAUCGCCGUGAAGCGUCUGAACGGCGGCGGGCGGCACGGCCACGGGUUCCGCGCGGAGAUCCGGACGCUGGGCAGCAUCUGA